rnacentral:pre_miRNA from 1 species
AAUGGGAUGGUUGGGUCACAUAUGGUGGUUCCAUUCCCAUUUUUUUUGAGGAAUCUCCAUAUUGCUUUUCAAAGUGGUUGUACCAAUUUGCAAUCCUACCAACAGU